UGAUAGACUGUCUACGGAUGAAAAAUGAUCGCUUGACAAAAAUAAUGAACUUAUAGACAAAAUGUUUUCGGUUUGAAAACUACGAUUCUUCAAUUUGACGAACGUAUUUGAUAAUCUCUCGUUUACACAAGUAAAAUAAGCAUAAAGAAGAUAUCUUAAGUGUUUAUUUAUUCUCGUGAGACUUGAAAAGACAUAGAAAACGGAUUUUUUAUUGUUCACCGCUCGAUUUAUGCCGCUUUUUGUCUUUGUUUGACACUUUCUCGUCAUUUUCGCAAUUGAUUAUUUCACUUUGUGAAUGUAUUUUACUGUGCUUUAUAACAGCGUGUGUGUAUAUAGAAGUUAUUGCAUGCUAACGGAGAACACAUUUUUCUUGUAUAACUUAGGAAGCUGCUCUACAGACAUCAAAAUCAUGCUUUCAAAUACACCCAUCGGUUGAAUACCAUUAUGGACAGGAAAGAGUCACAGAAGAUAAAAAAGAAAGAUGACAGCAGUGAAGUUGGUGGUACCACACAAGCGAAACAAAAACAAUUUAUGGAAGUACCAUAUUAAAGACAACAAAGUUUUCCUCAAGAUGCUGCAAAUGUGAAAAGUUGAUCAUCCUUCCGAACAAAACACCCUUAUUCAUCCACGAUAUCCAUUUUGACCGACCAACAAUAAACAGCUAUUGUCUAUUUCUAGAAGAUUGCACUGUCGAUGUUAGAAAUGACUGGAAGAUUUGAAAUUAAUGGGAUAUGUUUGCUUGUUAACUGACUUGCACUUCUAAACCAUAGAGUAAUGUUAUAGAAGUUAGGACAAGUCAGUUAACAACAUGUUAAUAUGGAGGUGCUCCUUAUCUUCUGAUUUUGAAUUUGACAUCGAAAUGAAAUCUAAUUUACAAUAGACUCUAUCAUAGUUACAAAAAGAAAUUGCAGUACGCUGGCAGAGUAUUGCAAAAUCAUCAAAUUCAACGU